CAGCCGCCGCGGGAAUACGUAGGGUGCAAGCGUUAAUCGGAAUUACUGGGCGUAAAGCGUGCGCAGGCGGUUUUGUAAGACAGAGGUGAAAUCCACGGGCUCAACCUGGGAACUGCCUUUGUGACUGCAAGGCUAGAGUACGGCAGAGGGGGAUGGAAUUCCGCGUGUAGCAGUGAAAUGCGUAGAUAUGCGGAGGAACACCGAUGGCGAAGGCAAUCCCCUGGGCCUGUACUGACGCUCAUGCACGAAAGCGUGGGGAGCAAACAGGAUUAGAUACCCCUGUAGUCCCUGUCUCUUAUAA
rnacentral:rRNA from 1 species